rnacentral:rRNA from 1 species
AGCGAACGCUGGCGGCAGGCUUAACACAUGCAAGUCGAACGCAUCACUUCGGUGGUGAGUGGCAGACGGGUGAGUAACACGUGGGAACGUACCCUUCGAUCUGGGAUAACUUCGGGAAACUGGAGCUAAUACCGGAUACGCCCUUUUGGGGAAAGGUUUACUGUCGAAGGGUCGGCCCGCGUCUGAUUAGCUAGUUGGUGGGGUAACGGCCUCCCAAGGCGACGAUCAGUAGCUGGUCUGAGAGGAUGAUCAGCCACACUGGGACUGAGACACGGCCCAGACUCCUACGGGAGGCAGCAGUGGGGAAUAUUGGACAAUGGGCGCAAGCCUGAUCCAGCCAUGCCGCGUGAGUGAUGAAGGCCUUAGGGUUGUAAAGCUCUUUUGUCCGGGACGAUAAUGACGGUACCGGAAGAAUAAGCCCCGGCUAACUUCGU